GAUGAACGCUAGCGGCAGGCCUAAUACAUGCAAGUCGAACGGUGUAGCAAUACACAGUGGCGCACGGGUGCGUAACACGUAUGCAACCUACCUAUUAUUGGGGGAUAGCCUUUGGAAACGGAGAUUAAUACCGCAUAAGACAGUGACAUGGCAUCAUGUAGCUGUUAAAGCUUUGGCGAUAAUAGAUGGGCAUGCGUCCAAUUAGUUAGUUGGUGAGGUAAUGGCUCACCAAGACGAUGAUUGGUAGGGGAUCUGAGAGGAUAAUCCCCCACACUGGCACUGAGAUACGGGCCAGACUCCUACGGGAGGCAGCAGUAGGGAAUAUUGGGCAAUGGACGGAAGGCUGACCCAGCCAUGCCGCGUGCAGGAUGACGGCGUUAUGCGUUGUAAACUGCUUUUUUAUAGGAAGAAGAAGCCCUUGCGAGGGAAAGUGACGGUACUAUAAGAAUAAGCACCGGCUAACUCCGUGCCGGCCGCCGCGGUAACAC
rnacentral:rRNA from 1 species